rnacentral:rRNA from 1 species
ACGCUAGCUACAGGCUUAACACAUGCAAGUCGAGGGGCAGCAUGGUCUUAGCUUGCUAAGGCCGAUGGCGACCGGCGCACGGGUGAGUAACACGUAUCCAACCUGCCGUCUACUCUUGGACAGCCUUCUGAAAGGAAGAUUAAUACAAGAUGGCAUCAUGAGUCCGCAUGUUCACAUGAUUAAAGGUAUUCCGGUAGACGAUGGGGAUGCGUUCCAUUAGAUAGUAGGCGGGGUAACGGCCCACCUAGUCUUCGAUGGAUAGGGGUUCUGAGAGGAAGGUCCCCCACAUUGGAACUGAGACACGGUCCAAACUCCUACGGGAGGCAGCAGUGAGGAAUAUUGGUCAAUGGGCGAGAGCCUGAACCAGCCAAGUAGCGUGAAGGAUGACUGCCCUAUGGGUUGUAAACUUCUUUUAUAAAGGAAUAAAGUCGGGUAUGGAUACCCGUUUGCAUGUACUUUAUGAAUAAGGAUCGGCUAACUCCGUGCCAGCAGCCGCGGUAAUACGGAGGAUCCGAGCGUUAUCCGGAUUUAUUGGGUUUAAAGGGAGCGUAGAUGGAUGUUUAAGUCAGUUGUGAAAGUUUGCGGCUCAACCGUAAAAUUGCAGUUGAUACUGGAUAUCUUGAGUGCAGUUGAGGCAGGCGGAAUUCGUGGUGUAGCGGUGAAAUGCUUAGAUAUCACGAAGAACUCCGAUUGCGAGGGCAGCCUGCUAAGCUGCAACUGACAUUGAGGCUCGAAAGUGUGGGUAUCAAACAGGAUUAGAUACCCUGGUAGUCCACACGGUAAACGAUGAAUACUCGCUGUUUGCGAUAUACUGCAAGCGGCCAAGCGAAAGCGUUAAGUAUUCCACCUGGGGAGUACGCCGGCAACGGUGAAACUCAAAGGAAUUGACGGGGGCCCGCACAAGCGGAGGAACAUGUGGUUUAAUUCGAUGAUACGCGAGGAACCUUACCCGGGCUUAAAUUGCAGAUGAAUUACGGUGAAAGCCGUAAGCCGCAAGGCAUCUGUGAAGGUGCUGCAUGGUUGUCGUCAGCUCGUGCCGUGAGGUGUCGGCUUAAGUGCCAUAACGAGCGCAACCCUUGUUGUCAGUUACUAACAGGUUCCGCUGAGGACUCUGACAAGACUGCCAUCGUAAGAUGUGAGGAAGGUGGGGAUGACGUCAAAUCAGCACGGCCCUUACGUCCGGGGCUACACACGUGUUACAAUGGGGGGUACAGAGGGUCGCUACCACGCGAGUGGAUGCCAAUCCCCAAAACCUCUCUCAGUUCGGACUGGAGUCUGCAACCCGACUCCACGAAGCUGGAUUCGCUAGUAAUCGCGCAUCAGCCACGGCGCGGUGAAUACGUUCCCGGGCCUUGUACACACCGCCCGUCAAGCCAUGGGAGCCGGGGGUACCUGAAGUGCGUAACCGCGAGGAGCGCCCUAGGGUAAAACUGGUGACUGGGG